UACGAAGGGUGCAAGCGUUACUCGGAAUUACUGGGCGUAAAGGGUGCGUAGGUGGUUUGUUAAGUCUGCUGUGAAAUCCCCGGGCUCAACCUGGGAAUGGCAGUGGAUACUGGCAAGCUAGAGUGCGGUAGAGGGUAGUGGAAUUCCCGGUGUAGCAGUGAAAUGCGUAGAGAUCGGGAGGAACACCUGUGGCGAAAGCGGUUCACUGGACCACAACUGACGCUGAUGCGCGAAAGCUAGGGGAGCAAACAGG
rnacentral:rRNA from 1 species